UCCCUUGUGGCUCAGCUGGUAAAGAAUCCACCUGUAGUGUGGGAGACCUGGGUUUGAUCCCUGGCUUGGGAA
rnacentral:tRNA from 1 species